rnacentral:rRNA from 1 species
GUGCCAGCCGCCGCGGUAAGACAGAGGGUGCAAACGUUGUUCGGAAUUACUGGGCGUAAAGCGUGUGUAGGCGGUCGAGUAAGUCGGGUGUGAAAGCCCAGGGCUCAACCCUGGAAGUGCACUCGAUACUGCCCGGCUAGAGUACUGGAGAGGUUGGUGGAAUUCUCGGUGUAGAGGUGAAAUUCGUAGAUAUCGAGAGGAACACCGGUGGCGAAGGCGGCCAACUGGACAGAUACUGACGCUGAGACACGAAAGCGUGGGGAGCAAACAGGAUUAGAAACCCCAGUAGUCC